rnacentral:rRNA from 1 species
AAUGAACGCUGGCGGCAGGCCUAACACAUGCAAGUCGAACGAGUAGCGGACGGGUGAGUAGUGUCUGGGAAACUGCCUGAUGGAGGGGGAUAACUACUGGAAACGGUAGCUAAUACCGCAUACCAUCGGAUGUGCCCAGAGGGGAGUAGCGAGUAGGGGGGGUAACGGCUCACCUAGGCGACGAGCCCUAGCUGGUCUGAGAGGAUGACCAGCCACACUGGAACUGAGACACGGUCCAGAUUCCUACGGGAGGCAGCAGUGGGGAAUAUUGCACAAUGGGCGCAAGCCUGAUGCAGCCAUGCCGCGUGUAUGAAGAAGGCCUUCGGGUUGUAAAGUACUUUCAGCGGGGAGGCGUUACCCGCAGAAGAAGCACCGGCUAACUCCGUGCCAGCAGCCGCGGUAAUAC